rnacentral:rRNA from 1 species
UAGGGAAUCUUCCACAAUGGGCGCAAGCCUGAUGGAGCAACGCCGCGUGAGUGAAGAAGGUCUUCGGAUCGUAAAACUCUGUUGUUAGAGAAGAACACGAGUGAGAGUAACUGUUCAUUCGAUGACGGUAUCUAACCAGCAAGUCACGGCUAACUACGNGCUAG